rnacentral:rRNA from 1 species
GCAACUCGACUACAUGAAGCUGGAAUCGCUAGUAAUCGCGAAUCAGAAUGUCGCGGUGAAUACGUUCCCGGGUCUUGUACACACCGCCCGUCACACCAUGGGAGUCAGUAACGCCCGAAGCCGGUGACCCAACCAGUUCAGGAGGGAGCCGUCGAAGGUGGGACCGAUAACUGGGGUGAAGUCGUAACAAGGUAGC